AUUGAACGCUGGCGGCAUGCCUUACACAUGCAAGUCGAACGGCAGCACGGGUGCUUGCACCUGGUGGCGAGUGGCGAACGGGUGAGUAAUACAUCGGAACAUACCUUAUCGUGGGGGAUAACGCAGCGAAAGCUGUGCUAAUACCGCAUACGCCCUGAGGGGGAAAGCGGGGGAUCGAAAGACCCCGCGCGAUUAGAGCGGCCGAUGCCUGAUUAGCUUGUUGGUGGGGUAAAAGCCCACCAAGGCGACGAUCAGUAGCUGGUCUGAGAGGACGAUCAGCCACACCGGGACUGAGACACGGCCCAGACUCCUACGGGAGGCAGCAGUGGGGAAUUUUGGACAAUGGGGGCAACCCUGAUCCAGCAAUGCCGCGUGAGUGAAGAAGGCCUUCGGGUUGUAUAGCUCUUUUGUCAGGGAAGAAACACCGGCUCUAACACAGUCCGGGAAUGACGGUACCUGAAGAAUAAGCACCGGCUAACUACGUGCCAGCCGCCGCAGUAA
rnacentral:rRNA from 1 species